rnacentral:rRNA from 1 species
AGAGUUCGAUCCUGGCUCAGGAUGAACGCUGGUGGCAUGCUUAACACAUGCAAGUCGGACGGGAAGUGGUGUUUCUCGUGGCGGACGGGUGAGUAACGCGUAAGAACCUGCCCUUGGGAGGGGAACAACAGCUGGAAAUGGCUGCUAACACCCCAUAGGCCGAGGAGCAAAAUGAUGAAUCCGCCCAAGGAAGGGCUCGAGUCUGAUUAGCUAGUUGGUGAGGCAAUAGCUUACCGAUGAUCAGUAGUUGGUCGGAGAGGAUGAUCAGCCUACUGGGACUUUUCCGCAAUGGGUGAAAUCUUGACAGAGUAAUGCCGCGUGGAGGUAGAAGGCCUACGAGUCGUGAACUUCUUUUCCUGGAGAAGAAGCAAUGACGGUAUUUGGGGAAUAAACAUUGACUAACUAUGUGCCAGCAGCCGCAGUAAUACAGAGGAUGCAAGCGUUAUCCGGAAUGAUUGAGCGUAAAGCGUCCGUAGGUGGCUUUUUAAGUCCACCGUCAAAUCUCAUGGCUCAACCUUGGAGAGGCGGUGGAAACUACCAAGCUGGAGUACAGUAGGGGCGGAGGGAAUUUUCGGUGGAGUGGUGAAAUGCGUAGAGAUCAGAAAGAACACCAACGAUGAAAGCACUCUGCUGGGCAAACACUGACACUAAGAGACGAAAGGUAGGGGAGCGAAUGAGAUUAGAUACCCAAGUAGUCCUAGCCAUAAACUAUGGAUUCCGGGCGCUGUGCGUAUCGACCCGUGCAGUGCUGUAGCUAAUGCGUUAAGUAUCCCGCCUGUGGAGUACGCUCACAAGAAUGAAACUCAAAGGAAUUGACGGGGGCACGCACAAGCGGUGGAUCAUGGGGUUUAAUUCGAUGCAAAGCGAUGAUCCUUACUAGGGCUUGACAUGCCGUGAAUCCUCUUGAAAGAGAGGGGUGCCUUCGGGAACGCGGACACAGAUGGUGCAUGACUGUCAUCAGCUCGUGCCGUCAGGGGUUGGGUUAAGUCCCGCAACGAGCGUAACCCUCGUGUUUAGUUGCCACCGUUGAGGUUGGAACCUUGAGCAGACUUCCGGUGAUAAGCCGGAGGAAGGUGAGGACGACGCCAAGUAUCAUGCCCUUUAUGCCCUGGGCAACACACGUACUACAAUGGCCGGGACAAAGGGUCAUGAUCCUGUGAGGGUGAGCUAACUCCAAAAACCCGUCCUCAAUUCGGAUUGUAGACUGCAACUCGCCUGCAUGAAGCAUGAAUCUUUAGUAAUCACCGGUCAGCCAUACAACGAUGAAUUCAUUCUCGGGACUUGUACACACUGCCCGUUACACUAUGGGAGUCGGCCAUGCCCGAAGUCGUUACCUUAACCGCAAGGAGGGGGGAUGCCGAAGGCAGGGCUAGUGACUGAAAUGAAGUCAUAACAAGGUAGUCGUACUGGAAGGUGCGGCUG